ACGGAAGGCAGCAGUGAGGAAUCUUGGUCAAUGGGCGGAAGCCUGAACCAGCCAAGUCGCGUGAAGGAUGAAGGUAUUAUGUAUUGUAAACUUCUUUAGACGCAGAGAAAUAAGCAGGUCGUGACCUGUGAUGCUAGUAUGCGUAGAAUACGGAUCGGCUAACUCCGUGCAAGCAGCCGCGGUAAUACGGAGGAUCCGAGCGUUAUCCGGAUUUAUUGGGUUUAAAGGGUGCGCAGGCGGUUUGUUAAGUCAGCGGUUAAAUAGUGGCGCUCAACUCCAUCCCGCCGUUGAUACUGUCAGACUUGAUUGCGGUUGAGGUUGGCGGAAUUCGUCGUGUAGCGGUGAAAUGCAUAGAUAUGACGAAGAACACCGAUGGCGUAGGCAGCUGACCAAUCCGUAAAUGACGCUCAUGUACGAAAGUGCGGGGAUCGAACAGGAUUAGAUACCCUGGUA
rnacentral:rRNA from 1 species